rnacentral:rRNA from 1 species
GACGAACGCUGGCGGCGGGCUUAACACAUGCAAGUCGAACGGAAGGGCCCUGCUUUGUUGGGGUGCCGGGUUGCGAAAGGGGGACGUAACAGGUAAGUAACUUCCCCUACCUUUUGGGUAAAUUUAAGGAAAUGGGGCUUAAUCCCGUACAGCAGUCCACCUGCCAUGGGGGGGGUGGGAAAUUUUCGCCGGUCGGGGUUGAAUGCGGGGCUUACCGACUUGUUGGUGGGGUAGGGGCUUACCAAGCCUUGGACGGGUGCCCGGCCUGGGAGGGUGACCGGCCACAUUAGGACUGAGAUACGGACCAGACUCCUACGGGAGGCAGCAGGGGGGAAUAUUGCACAAUGGGCGGAAGCCUGAUGCAGCAACGCCGCGUGCGGGAUGACGGCCUGCGGGUUGUAAACCGCUUUCGCCUGUGACGAAGCGGGAGUGACGGUAAUGGGUAAAGAAGCACCGGCUAACUACGUG